rnacentral:tRNA from 1 species
GCCGAAGUAGCUCAGUUGGUAGAGCAACUGAUUCGUAAUCAGUAGGUCCGCGGUUCAAGUCCGCGCUUCGGCUCCA